rnacentral:ncRNA from 1 species
UUGAGCCGGAUGCGGGGAAACUCGCACGUCCGGUUCUUAGGGGGCCUCCCGGCUGUGAAGCGGGGCGGCUACCCGAC